rnacentral:misc_RNA from 1 species
GUGAAUCAUCAAAUUUUUGAACGCAAAUUGCGCUUCCUAGCAUCCCGGGAAGUAUGCAUGUUUGAGGGUCAGUAUUAACAAAAAAAUCGGUUUGGUUGAAAAUUGAGACGUUUCAGGAGUUUGGGCUAUCUUAACUUUUUUGGUUAAGGGGCUUAAAAUGGACCUUUUUUGCGCAUGUUUAGACGGACAUAAAUUUUUUUUUAUUCGUCUAGUCUUAAUGCCAAAAUCUUAUUAGAUGCGAUCACAUCGUGUGGUUUCGGGUCCAUAAAAUUUUCAUGAUUUGACCUCAAAUCAGGUAGGA